CAGUUUGUCCUUCAAAGAUCAUUUUUGUGGUAUGCAGCCAAGGCAGUGGAGGCUGGUUAUGUCAGCCAUGAGCUGGUAGGCUUUCAUCUGAUUCUGAAACAUACAGACAGUAUUCUGUUUGUCUUAAAGGGUUUUUUCCUGUUUUUGAUUAUUGUUCUGUUCUUUAUGAAGAACUGUAGAUGGAAGAACAUUCGGAGAGGG